GUCCCAGACGAAGGCCACGCACCUCUACCUGAACCACGCCUCCUGCGACCCCGCGCCGGCGGCGCCUGCCGC
rnacentral:SRP_RNA from 1 species